AAGAAGGUUCUAUGGAUUGUAAACUUCUUUUGUAAGGGAAUAAAAAAGGCCACGUGUGGCUUCUUGUAUGUACUUUACGAAUAAGGAUCGGCUAACUCCGUGC
rnacentral:rRNA from 1 species